AUGCCCAGCAAUAUCAUCAAUUCAACAAGCAGCAAUAUCAUCAAUUCAACAAGCAGUUACUCGAAAUUCCAUCGCCCCAAAUGGCAUAGGAUACCUCGGGCGUCCAACUUCUGGCAUAAGUUUUUGUGCAUACAAAAAUUUAGGAACCUAAACCACAAGGGCAAAUGGAAGGCACCUUUGAUCGGUAAUCCAGAGUACAUGGAUGAUUCUUACACCUAUGCUUUUGAUAGGCUGAUGCACAUUGGCGUUGAGCCAAGGUAG
rnacentral:rRNA from 1 species